rnacentral:rRNA from 1 species
UACAUAGGGGGCAAGCGUUAUCCGGAAUUAUUGGGUGUAAAGGGUGCGUAGACGGGAAUUUAAGUUAGUUGUGAAAUCCCUCGGCUCAACUGAGGAACUGCAACUAAAACUGGAUUUCUUGAGUGCGGGAGAGGAAAGUGGAAUUCCUAGUGUAGCGGUGAAAUGCGUAGAUAUUAGGAGGAACACCAGUGGCGAAGGCGACUUUCUGGACCGUAACUGACGUUGAGGCACGAAAGUGUGGGGAGCAAACAGG